rnacentral:rRNA from 1 species
UACGUAGGGGGCAAGCGUUGUCCGGAAUCAUUGGGCGUAAAGAGCUCGUAGGCGGCUUGUCACGUCGGGUGUGAAAGCCCGGGGCUUAACCCCGGGUCUGCAUUCGAUACGGGCUGGCUAGAGUGUGGUAGGGGAGAAUCGGAAUUCCUGGUGUAGCGGUGAAAUGCGCAGAUAUCAGGAGGAACACCGGUGGCGAAGGCGGAUCUCUGGGCCAUUACUGACGCUGAGGAGCGAAAGCGUGGGGAGCGAACAGG